rnacentral:rRNA from 1 species
AUUGAACGCUGGCGGCAGGCCUAACACAUGCAAGUCGAACGAGUGGCGGACGGGUGAGUAAUGCUUGGGAAACUAGCUGAUGGAGGGGGAUAACUACGGGAAACGGUAGCUAAUACCGCGUACCAUAGGAUGAGCCCAGAUGGUAUUAGGUAGUAGGUGAGGUAAAGGCUCACCAAGCCGACGAUCCCUAGCUGGUCUGAGAGGAUGACCAGCCACACUGGAACUGAGACACGGCCCAGACUCCUACGUGAGGCAGCAGUGGGGAAUAUUGCGCAAUGGGCGCAACCCUGACGCAGCCAUGCCGCGUGUAUGAAGAAGGCCUUAGGGUUGUAAAGUACUUUCAGCGGGGAGGCGUUACCCGCAGAAGAAGCACCGGCUAACUCCGUGCCAGCAGCCGCGGUAAUUC